GAAAAUUAACCCUACAUUGAUUGAAAAUUAAAAUUGCAAUACAUUUCAAAUAAAAUCCUAAAUUACUUAAAAAAACAUAAAAUAAAUUUCUAGAAUCUACGGGAGAUUGUGGCGUCGCUUGAUUUCUGCAACCUUGGCCAAGUGAAAUGUCAACUCGUCGGGAUUCAUUUGAAAGGUGUCCCAACUCAUCAACAUGCUAUGGGCGAGGUCGCGUUGAGCUUGGGAGAAUUGUCCCAUGACCUUGGCCAUCUCCUCCAUGUAUCCGAGAGCUCGAGAAUUGUUGUCGGACGUCUCCGCCUUCUUUUUCCCUUUGGCUUUGUCUCUCUUCGCUGCUUUUUGGCCUUGGGGCCUUGUGGAAAUGCUCGGCUCGCUAGAAGUCGUUGUAGCGUCACCGCCCAAGCCCUUCCAUUUUUUGGAGGCGUGGACAUCCACGGCAAUACUCGCGAAUUUUGGAGAUUCGCGCAGUAGCCUCUAUGCAUAUGGAUACUUAAAUUUUGCACCAUACUCGGCAAUGAACAUUAUUUCGGCCUGUUCUAUGAUUUAUUCAUUGCUCAUGCCGGAUGCCCAAUUCUCCCGGCACUUUUUGCAGAUGCCCUCCCACCACCUCACUUCCUCUUGGACAUGUUGGAAGUGCGAAUUGAUUUGCUUGAUGUCGCGUGGAAUGGUGCCUUGGGGCAGUUGAGCAUUAUAAUCAUCUCUGAUAGCACCCCAAUACUGAGGUCCUUUCUGGUCGGUCCCGUUGAUGGAGUUGCAUGUGUGCUCAAGAUACAAACGACAUAUGAGUAUCGUUUCAUUCGGAGAGUAGUGACUCUUUGCUUGGUGUUGGCCGGCAUAGAUGCUAUCUCCUCCACGUCCGGCUCGGCUACCACCUCAAAUCGGGCGUUCAAGUUGAUUCCUUCGAUUCCUUGCGUUUGAAAGGCAUUGGACUCUUGCGUAAAUGGCGCGAAUCCUUGGGCGGAUGCAUUGGAUUCGCCGGGAGAUGGAUUUUGGGGGCAUGUGCUCCAAAAGCUUUUCCAAUCUCCUUCCAUGAUUUUAAAAAAAAUUAAAAGAACAAGAUGAACAAAGAUAGAAAAAAUAUAGAAUGAAAGAAGAGAUAGAAGAUAGAAGAAAAGAUGCAAAAUAAAAUUGGAGACAUAUGAGUAUAUAUAGAAGAAAGAAGAAGAAUAAUAAAAAAAAAAGCAAAAAAGGCCCAACGGCCAAAACUUAACGGCACUUUUGAAUUUUUUUUAAUUAAAAAAUUCCAAAAAAAUGGCGUUUGAUAUGCACGCGCCAUCUCUUCUCUCUUCUGCGCCCAAAGCGCCCGUCUUCACCCAGCUUGCGAGCCUGAGGCGCGGCAAUGGCUGGAGGCGCGCAAUGGGGGGGCUCGAGCUCAAUUUUUGAGCCCCAUUGCGAGUGCUCUUAGUUUUUUGUUUUUUUAUUAUUGUUUCAUCAUAGCCCCCUAUCUAUGUACACAAUAUUUUUUUAGGGCCAAUUUUUUUUAUUCAUUAAAGAUUAUGUAUUUUUAUAGAAUAUAAUACAAUAUCUUUUUAUAUUUUAGCACAACAGAUGAUUAAUCAAUAUAUAAUUAUUUUUUUAUAAAAAAAACUAUAUCAAUUUACCCCGUGCAUAUGCACGGGUGGAAUACUAGUUGUUUAUAAUAAAACAAGCGGAAUAAAAUAACUUUUCUUUAACUAUACUUGUAUAAAAAGUAUUAGAAAAAAAAUGAAGAUAUUAUUUUUUAAAUUAAAAAAAAAAAGAUAAUUAUUUGUGGGUCAUAAUGACAUAUCAUGUAAAUAAUGAGUCAUGUAGGAAUAUUUAUAUAUGAAUUAAUAAAUAGUCGUAAGAGCAUCCACAUCUGGCUAACUUAUCUACCGGCUCAAGUCAACCUUAGCAAUAAUCAAUCGAUGCAGGGUGGGGUGACUCGAGGUCCAACUCAUAUGGAUGAACCUGACUCAUAAUCUUUUUAUGUGUGGCGCGUGCAUUGCACGCAUCUGGCACAAGUAGACUUGACUGAUUAGUCGACUAAUGCAACAUACAAAUGACUUAUCCCAUUUAAUUUAUAUGAGUCGACAUGAUGAGUCAAUUCAAUACGACACUCGACUCAUAAAUAAAUUCGGAGUAUGGAUGAAUCAAAUAUUGAUUCAACCAAUAUAAAUGAUUUAAAACUAUUGAAAUUGAAAUUAAUAUGAAUCACAAUAAAUACAAUAAAUUAUGAGAGAUGGGAUCGCAUGCAGUGGGGUGUAUAUUGAUUUAUUUUCGACAAACCCGUAGAACAUAUACGAGGAAAUAUAUGAAUCAAAACAAAUUCAUAAUUUUAUCUUCAAAAGAAAAGAACAAAAAAACAUAAUUUCUUCUCAACUAUCUGAUCACAGUAAUUGUUCGAGAAUUCACCAUCAACUAUCAAAUGCAGAUGAUAAUAAUACAAACAACAAAAUUCCAAAGUAGAAUUUCUUACACUAGUAAGGGAGCUUGAAGGCUGCAAGGUUGCAGCCGCCGGAGCAGGGUCAAACGAUACGGUGGCGGA
rnacentral:lncRNA from 1 species